rnacentral:rRNA from 1 species
UACGGAGGGGGCUAGCGUUGUUCGGAAUUACUGGGCGUAAAGCGCACGUAGGCGGACUGUUAAGUCGGGGGUGAAAUCCUGGGGCUCAACCUCAGAAUUGCCUCCGAUACUGGCAGUCUCGAGUCCGGAAGAGGUGAGUGGAAUUCCGAGUGUAGAGGUGAAAUUCGUAGAUAUUCGCAAGAACACCAGUGGCGAAGGCGGCUCACUGGCCCGGUACUGACGCUGAGGUGCGAAAGCGUGGGGAGCAAACAGG